UCUGCUGAGUCAGCGUGAAGCAACGAAAGCAGCUACUGGCAAGGUUGAGUGCGUUCUUUGUUCAGAAUACCACCAGGCUCAGUCUUCACUGGGAUUCGUGCUCUGUUACUGUCCAAUCUAGAAACUCUAUCAAAUAACAGCAUGAAGCCAGCACAUUUGCAAUGACAUUGGAAGGCAAAAUACCCUGUGCAUGUGGGGUAGCCAGGAGAAUGUUUUCAGAGUUCCGGAAUUGCCAGCUUUAAAUGAAAACAAGCUUUGGUAAGCACUAUACCAUCUGCAGAUAGUGGUGGAGAGAAUACAUUAAAGAUGGUGAGGUGCUCAGAUACAACGACCGUGAAUCCCACUGAAGACUGAACCUGGUGAUAUUCUGAAGCAAAAGAGCUCUAGAGGCUGCCUGUAGCUGCUUCCACCAUCUCCUCACACUGACUCAACAGACAUUCCAGCCUCCAGGGUGAUGUUCCUGGAAUCUUCUUAUAUCUAUGAAUAUGCACAGCUCAAGGACCGCAGGACAGUGUCAGCAUGGGGUGAGCACUGCUUACUACUUGAACCUCUGGAGAAUGUUAAACAAAAGCUACUACGGUAAGACAUUUUCAAAGCAGCAGACUCAGAUAACUUGCAUUCAAGAGUUUUAAAAGAGCUGGAUGUGGAUCUCACUGGAUCAUCAAUGCUGAUUUUCAAUAAGUCUUGGCGCACUGCGGAAGUUCCAGAAGACCGCACUCUUCAUCUUCCCCAUAUGGACUCUGAACUGCCUAUCGUGAAGGAACAAUUCAACGACACCUGUGACCCAAGGUAGCAGGACCCGUGAUACCUUCAUGAGCAGGCCAGUGUGCCCUCCCGUAUCGUCAGGUCGAUGAAAACAGCACCUGUUUUCAAUUUUCUCUGGAAGCCAUUUUCAACAAAUGCGGUCAAUGCAUGUACUUGGUUGCAUGUGCUAUGGCCAUGACAUCAAUGAAAACAAUAUACCCAGCCAGGAUGAACACUGACCAUGACAUGCGUGUGUGCUUGUCAAAGACACCCCCAUGCCUGGACAGAAUUGUUGAUCAGCACCAGCAACAAGUUUCACACUAAGGGCAGGUCUGCACUACGGGGGAGACGUUCUCCAGUUGACCUCCCUUACUCUUCUGGAAGAGCUGGAGUACUGGGGUUGUCCAGAGAACACUAGACCUGCAAAAUCGAUCCCUGCUGCAUCAAUUGCUGCACCGUCGAUUUCCCUGUAGUGAAGACUAGCCCUGACCCUGGGCAGGAGGCAGCCUGCAAGCAGUCUCUGACCCUGGGAGAGCCCAAGAUGCUGGGAAAACAGAGGGAGUCUGAAUAGCCUGGCCUUCCCUCCCUGUGCGGAGCCCAGCUGUGGCAUGGACAUCUCCCUGCAGCCGGCCUGCAAAGUACUGCCAGGCCCGGCACAUGGCCUCUCUUUAAACUCAGCCUGCAAACAGGCCUCAGAGGGGACAAUCCACUUCUUCUGCCCCUCCUGCCUGCAACAAGAGGAGACCACCCGUCCCUCCUGCCACCACCUGCAGCCCUCCCACACCAGACACAGGAACAAGGGGAUGUUCAGUGACAUUGAAAGGUGAACAGUUAAAAACUAACAGGGAAAUGUUUUUUUUUCCACAUAAAGCACAAUUAGCCUGUGGAACUCACUGCCACUGCAACUCAAUGAGGCCCAGAGUUUAACAAGACUAAAAAAGGGCCUGGACAUUUCUAACAAGAAUAUCCAAAGCUGUCAUGAUUAAUGAUACCAUUUUUGGAAGGUAUAUUAAAGCUCUGGCUGAAGCCAAUCUCUGAUAUUAGAGAGCAAGAUGAAAGCUACCCGGGAAGGGGGCAAAUUAUCCCCAUCUGCUACUGCAGAGUUCUUGCGCCUUCCUCUGCAGCAUGUGGCGCUGCCACUGUUGGAGACCGGAGAGUGGGUUGAUUGGACCCCAGCUGUGGUCCAGUCUGGCAGUUCCUGUCACUGUUCCCUCCUGCGCCCCUGCACCCCCCCACACACUGUUUCCCUCGUAGAAAAGGACACACAAUGAUGAGGAUUACUUGCUCUUUGGAAUGGCCCCUUUCUAGCACCCCCCUAUAACCCUGCAGCCUGGCCGCAGUAAUGGGGGGCCAGUAGCUGCACUGCCCUGGAGCAGAGUCAAAGCCACUGCUCCCUGCUUUGCUCUAGGGGGUGGUAAGUUACCUCACCUCUCUUUGUGGAGCAGCUUACUCCCCGCUGUGUGCCUGGAGGGGAGGGGCAGAGCCAGGGCUACUCCCUCUGCCCUCCGCCACCCACCCACCCACAGCAGGAGGCCUGGCUGAAUAACUUUUGUUCUCUCCAGCUUGGCCAUUCCCCCUGUGAGUAGAGGAGAGCAGAGCAUGGCCCAGGGAGGGGCUAGAACAACCUAACCCCAUCCCUGGCUGGCUCUAGGGGGUGGGAUGGAGAAGCUUUGCAGCCCCAUUAGCCUUUGGGAAUUGCUUUGCCAUCACACAUAAAGUUCACACUCACGAGGUGUCCCCCUCCCCUCCCCAAGCCUGUCUGGCUGUCCCUGGCCAGUUCCCGCAUUGGGCUGUCUGGGACAGGCAGACAUGUGAGCUCACAGGAGCCCACUCUGCUCCCAGCACCACACAGGCAGCGCCUGGGCAUGCGCGGCAUCCUAACUUAGUCAGCAUGCUGUGCUGUCGGCUGGUGUGUGGUUCAGGGCACCUCCUGUCCCCCUCCUGGCAGCUCCCCCAUCCCCUCCCUGUGCACUACCAGUGAUUGACAGGCACUGUCCCGUCUCCUGGAAACAGUUAAACAGCCAGGAAAGGGGGUUUAAUCCUCAUGUCUGGCUGUCUUAUUUUUCUCCCUUCCCAACUGACGUUCAGGGAGCUCUUCCGUCUUCUCAGGCUCCAAGUAUGCUGGGAAACACUCCCUCCAUUCCGCAGCGGGGCCCUGUCAUUUCCCUUGGGCUCAGUUCAUUAUCAGAGCACAGGGAAACCAAGCGGGACAGGACCUUGACGGCAUGUGAAUGUCAGGAGGGACGGACAAACGAUUGGCCCCUAACAACGCAGACAAAGCCAAGGGCCUUUCCUUUGGUUCUAACAACUUAAACCAGAUCUUCCAUCUUUAUAAUUUAUAUUACCACAGUGCCUAGGACCCUGGUCACACACCAGGACCACGCUGGAUAGUAGAGAGACAAGCUGGGGGCAGGUAAUGUCUUUCAUUGGUGAAAGAGCCAAGCCUUCACUUUCAGAUAGAGCUCUCCUUUGGGUCAGCAAGCUCGGAAGCUCAUCUCUCUCACCAACCAUGGUUAGUCCAAUACAAGAUAUUCCCUCCCCUGCCUCGUCUUCUCUGUUCCUAACAGGUGGGUCCUCAGUCCAGAGCUGUGUACUUCUCCUGAAACAGCCUGAGACCUCACAGCCCCCACCCCAAAUCCAGCUGCUUUGCGGCAACUCCCUAGCUCCUUGCGUGGGGCAGAGAAAGCACAGACGCUGAACCCACAAUGAACAGGGGACAGCUCAGACAGGCCAGCAUGGGCAGUAGGUGUCCUGCACAGAUCUACGGGUGUUGCUGAGACUUGCACAGUGAUCUCACCCUUGCCCCACUGGCUGCCAGUACUUGUUUCUGCACUGCGGCCUCACUUUACACCUUUGUACUGUCGCCUCAGCACCCGCCUGUCUGCAGCAACGUAGCAGUUUAACAGCCACCCCACAGGAAUGGAUCUUGCCUCUGGGACUCUGCCGCAAGCCAGCCAACCCAUCAGAUAACUGUGCUUCAGACCCUGGUUCCUUUCCCAGCUCAUUGUCUGGCCGCAGCAACUUGGGUAGAUUUAAGGGGCUGGAUCCUCAUCUCAAACCAUCCCAUGAUAAACAGAUUUUAUUUUGUUCCAGCUUUUCAGCUCGGCUUUAUAGCAGCAGAUAAAACAAAAGAAGAGAAGCAAAGGGCUCUUUUGAUUGCACUGCUCUUCCAUCACAGCAAGGCUUCUUUUUGGCUCCCGCAACCGUCACAUGGGGCCCGCUUCCCUGCCAUCUCUCAGCCCCUGCCCCAUUCUCUGAGCACUGGUCCCAGUUAGUCAUUGACCAGCAGCUACCUUGUGCUAAUUGACUUUAGCCAGCGUUCGCCCACCCUUUUCUGUCCCGCUCUGCAGAGAAGGGACAGCAAAGCUGACUGAAACUGACAAGAUUUCUUUUCAUAAAAGAAAAGGGAGCGAGCCUACACUGGCUCCAUCAAAGACUUUUAUUAAAGCCACACGGGGAAAAAGCUGCCCUCUCAGACAGCUGUCGGUAUCGAGAAAACAUGAAAGAAACCAUCAGCUAUAAUCAGCUCAGGAAAUUUAUUGCAUGUUUGACCCUGAUGUGGCUGUGUGCUGCUCAAGGAAGAUUUCUUUGAAGGUGUUGCAAGUUUAUUGAUUGUGAAAAAUGUCAGUGUGUCACAUGCCCAAUGAACUUGGCACUUCUUGCAAUCAAUACACUAAUUGCCUUCUCUUUAGAGAGGCCUUUAAUGUAAUUAACCCUCCCCCCCACUUGUUUUGCCAACUAUCAUGUUUUAAUAAAUAGUUGAUCUGGGCUCUCUAUCCAGAGUGCCUCGGCAGAACGGAGGGGAUGGAUUUCGUAGAGGAGACUGGCUUUCUCAUAGAGACCUAGCAUCCAUUUUCAGGAGCCCAUAAAGCUGUAUAUCAACUUAGCAGCAGUGCCUAUGUAACCCUCACACCUUCUGGGUGUGGUAUUCUGUCCCAUCUAAUGGCACUGACACUGCUUAGAGAGACAAAGAGAUUGUAUCUGCUCUACAGCCUUAGCUAAUAGCCAGUUGGCUUUUAGCUCAGACACUAAACUCCAGAGGUCCCUGGUUCAAUCCUGCACACCAGAGACCAGGGUCUGUUGGAGUGAUAGAACACUACACCCAGAAAGUGUGUGGGUGACAUCUAGUCAGAGCCAAAGGCCUCAUUAUACUGAUUCAAUAACUGGUUUGUCUGUGCCUCUCUUCAGAUACAGAGGGACAAAAUCCCUUUAGUGGGGAAGAAUGUAAGAGACCGGAAAGGUCCUAACCUCUCUGGACACUGAAUGGGGUGGCUGUUCAUGUGCUGGUGCAGGAAGGUCAUGUCUGAAAUGAAAUGUUAGGAGAUGCACAGAUGGCAGCCUUGGGUUUGCUGGAAGCUCCAAUGUCACUCUUAAUUUACAUAUAUAUUGGCAGUGGCAAAAUUGAUAUAGCAGAGAUUAACUGAGGUUACAAACUGACUAACUGAUAGAUCUCAAGAUGUAAGUGUUAAUGGGGGAUCAGCACCUAAUGGAGGUGUUUCUAGGGCGUUCCCACAUGUAACUAUGUCCAGUGCUAUUCAAUAUAUUUCUCAAUGAUCUGGAAUAAACUAUAUCAUUGCUGGUAAAGUCUGCAGCUGAUACACAAAGAUUGGUGGGUGGUUAAUGAUGAGGGCAGAUCAGUGAUAGAGAGCAGUCUGGAUCCCUUGGUUUGCUGGGUGUGAUCAAACAACAGGUGUUUUAAUGCAGUUAGCUCCAAGGUCACCAGUUUGGAACCAAACAUGUAGGUCGCACUGAGAAGGUGUGGGGCUGUGUCCUGGAAAGCAGGGACUCUGGAAAUGACUUAGGGUCAGAGCAGAAACCAGCUGAACAUGAGCACACAAUGCAGUGCUGGGGCUGAGGGUGAACCUGGUGUAGACACCCCUCUGCUAGGCAGAGAGCUCACAGGAGCUGGGAUCGGGGCUCCUCGUGUGCUUAGGGGAAGCCAUGUAUAUUUAUGUCCCCAUAGUAACAGUGUCUUAGGAGGGGUAAUGCAGGCACAGAUCUACAGGGAACUGUGAUGUCAGAGCAGGCAAGCUCUGCCCAGCCUCUCUAGCCUGCUCUCAGGCCACAAGUUUGGCUUCCA